rnacentral:rRNA from 1 species
GAUGAACGCUGGCGGCGUGCCUAAUACAUGCAAGUCGAGCGAACGGACGAGAAGCUUGCUUCUCUGAUGUUAGCGGCGGACGGGUGAGUAACACGUGUAUAACCUACCUAUAAGACUGGGAUAACUUCGGGAAACCGUAGCUAAUACCGGAUAAUAUUUUGAACCGCAGGGUUCAAAAGUGAAAGACGGUCUUGCUGUCACUUAUAGAUGGAUCCGCGCUGCAUUAGCUAGUUGGUAAGGUAACGGCUUACCAAGGCAACGAUGCAUAGCCGACCUGAGAGGGUGAUCGGCCACACUGGAACUGAGACACGGUCCAUACUCCUACGGGAGGCAGCAGUAGGGAAUCUUCCGCAAUGGGCGAAAGCCUGACGGAGCAACGCCGCGUGAGUGAUGACGGUCUUCGGAUCGUAAAACUCUGUUAUUAGGGAAGAACAUAUGUGUAAGUAACUGUGCACAUCUUGACGGUAACUAAUCAGAAAGCCACGGCUAACUACGUG